UAGGGAAUCUUCCACAAUGGACGAAAGUCUGAUGGAGCAACGCCGCGUGAGUGAAGAAGGGUUUCGGCUCGUAAAACUCUGUUGUUAAAGAAGAACACGUAUGAGAGUAACUGUUCAUACGUUGACGGUAUUUAACCAGAAAGUCACGGCUAACUACGUGUCAG
rnacentral:rRNA from 1 species